GGGCGCCUGGGUAACUCAGUCGGUUAAGCGUCUGCCUUUCACUCAGGUCAGGAUCCCAGGGAUCCUGGGUUUGAGCUCUGCACUGGGCUCCCUGCUCGGUGGGGAG